rnacentral:rRNA from 1 species
AGCGAACGCUGGCGGCAGGCCUAACACAUGCAAGUCGAACGGACCCUUCGGGGUUAGUGGCGGACGGGUGAGUAACACGUGGGAACGUGCCUUUAGGUUCGGAAUAGCUCCUGGAAACGGGUGGUAAUGCCGAAUGUGCCCUUCGGGGGAAAGAUUUAUCGCCUUUAGAGCGGCCCGCGUCUGAUUAGCUAGUUGGUGAGGUAAAGGCUCACCAAGGCGACGAUCAGUAGCUGGUCUGAGAGGAUGACCAGCCUCAUUGGGACUGAGACACGGCCCAAACUCCUACGGGAGGCAGCAGUGGGGAAUCUUGCGCAAUGGGCGAAAGCCUGACGCAGCCAUGCCGCGUGAAUGAUGAAGGUCUUAGGAUUGUAAAAUUCUUUCACCGGGGACGAUAAUGACGGUACCGGGAGAAUAAGCCCCGGCUAACUCCGUGCCAGCAGCCGCUGUAAGAC